rnacentral:rRNA from 2 species
UGAGGAAUAUUGGUCAAUGGACGCAAGUCUGAACCAGCCAUGCCGCGUGCAGGAAGACGGCUCUAUGAGUUGUAAACUGCUUUUGUACGAGGGUAAAUCCCGAUACGUGUAUCGGGUUGAAAGUAUCGUACGAAUAAGGAUCGGCUAACUCCGUGCCAGCAGCCGCGGUAAUACGGAGGAUUCAAGCGUUAUCCGGAUUUAUUGGGUUUAAAGGGUGCGUAGGCGGUUCGAUAAGUUAGAGGUGAAAUCCCGGGGCUCAACUCCGGCACUGCCUCUGAUACUGUCGGGCUAGAGUUUAGUUGCGGUAGGCGGAAUGUAUGGUGUAGCGGUGAAAUGCAUAGAGAUCAUACAGAACACCGAUUGCGAAGGCAGCUUACCAAACUACGACUGACGUUGAGGCACGAAAGCGUGGGGAGCAAACAGG